AAGGAAUAUUGGUCAAUGGGCGGAAGCCUGAACCAGCCAUGCCGCGUGCAGGAUGACUGCCCUAUGGGUUGUAAACUGCUUUUGUCCAGGAAUAAACCUUUCUACGUGUAGGGAGCUGAAUGUACUGGAAGAAUAAGGAUCGGCUAACUCCGUGCCAGCAGCCGCGGUAAUACGGAGGAUCCGAGCGUUAUCCGGAUUUAUUGGGUUUAAAGGGUGCGUAGGCGGCCUAUUAAGUCAGGGGUGAAAUACGGUGGCUCAACCAUCGCAGUGCCUUUGAUACUGAUGGGCUUGAAUCCAUUUGAAGUGGGCGGAAUAAGACAAGUAGCGGUGAAAUGCAUAGAUAUGUCUUAGAACUCCGAUUGCGAAGGCAGCUCACUAAGCUGGUAUUGACGCUGAUGCACGAAAGCGUGGGGAUCGAACA
rnacentral:rRNA from 1 species